rnacentral:rRNA from 1 species
AUGUUCAUUGUUAGUGGAAACUGGAGGAUUGAUUAUUGUGCAGAUGUAUUAGCAACAGAAGUCACGACUCUAAAGUUUGGGUUAUUACUUGCACAGAAGGCGGGAUGCAAUCGUCUUGUUGUUAACUCGGGGAAUAUGGAAAUGAUUGACACAAUGAGGAAUGGAGGACACUCGGCGGGAGCGGCGGCUGCAAUUUUUGAUGAUUUUUAUUUUUUGUCUUGUGAUUUUCCUCUUAUUAGAUUUGAACAUUGUAAUAGAGAAGCAAAUAAGAUGGCUCACGAAAUUUCUAGGCUAGCAAAAAAAUUUGCAAGUAGGGUUUCAUUUGAGGAGCCUAUGAAUGAUAUUGUAUCUUUUCUUAUGGGCGAUGUAAGAAUUAUUUAUAAUUAA